rnacentral:rRNA from 1 species
AUACGGGGGGUGCAAGCGUUAAUCGGAAUUACUGGGCGUAAAGCGCGCGUAGGCGGUUUGCUCGGUCGGAUGUGAAAGCCCAGGGCUCAACCUUGGAACUGCAUACGAUACUGGCAAACUAGAGUGUGAGAGAGGAUAGUGGAAUUUCCGGUGUAGCGGUGAAAUGCGUAGAUAUCGGAAGGAACAUCAGUGGCGAAGGCGACUGUCUGGCUCAACACUGACGCUGAGGUGCGAAAGCGUGGGUAGCAAACAGGAUUAGAAACCCCAGUAGUCC